rnacentral:tRNA from 1 species
UAGAAUUCCAGCUUUGGGAGUUGGGGGUCUUUGGGAGUUGGGGGUGGGAGUUAAAAUCUCUCCUCUUUGG